CAGCCGCGGGAAUACGGAGGAUCCAAGCGUUAUCCGGAAUCAUUGGGUUUAAAGGGUCCGUAGGCGGUCUUGUAAGUCAGUGGUGAAAGCCCAUCGCUCAACGGUGGAACGGCCAUUGAUACUGCAGGACUUGAAUUAUUGGGAAGUAACUAGAAUAUGUAGUGUAGCGGUGAAAUGCUUAGAGAUUACAUGGAAUACCAAUUGCGAAGGCAGGUUACUACCAAUUGAUUGACGCUGAUGGACGAAAGCGUGGGUAGCGAACAGGAUUAGAUACCCCCGUAGUCCCUGUCUCUUAUACACC
rnacentral:rRNA from 1 species